rnacentral:rRNA from 1 species
UNUUAAAAGUUCGGGGCUUAACCCCGUGAUGGGAUGGAAACUGCUGAUCUAGAGUAUCGGAGAGGACAGUGGAAUUCCUAGUGUAGCGGUGAAAUGCGUAGAUAUUAGGAAGAACACCAGUGGCGAAGGCGACUUUCUGGACGAAAACUGACGCUGAGGCGCGAAAGCCAGGGGAGCGAACGGGAUUAGAUACCCCGGUAGUCCUGNCCGUAAACGAUGGGUACUAGGUGUAGGAGGUAUCGACCCCUUCUGUGCCGGAGUUAACGCAAUAAGUACCCCGCCUGGGGAGUACGACCGCAAGGUUGAAUCUCAAAGGAAUUGACGGGGGCCCGCACAAGCGGUGGAGUAUGUGGUUUAAUUCGACGCAACGCGAAGAACCUUACCAGGUCUUGACAUUGAUGGACAGAACCAGAGAUGGUUCCUCUUCUUCGGAAGCCAGAAAACAGGUGGUGCACGGUUGUCGUCAGCUCGUGUCGUGAGAUGUUGGGUUAAGUCCCGCAACGAGCGCAACCCCUAUCUUAUGUUGCCAGCACGUAAAGGUGGGAACUCAUGAGAGACUGCCGCAGACAAUGCGGAGGAAGGCGGGGAUGACGUCAAAUCAUCAUGCCCCUUAUGACCUGGGCUACACACGUACUACAAUGGGAGUUAAUAGACGGAAGCGAGAUCGCGAGAUGGAGCAAAUCCGAGAAACACUCUCUCAGUUCGGAUCGUAGGCUGCAACUCGCCUACGUGAAGUCGGAAUCGCUAGUAAUCGCAGGUCAGCAUACUGCGGUGAAUACGUUCCCGGGCCUUGUACACACCGCC